rnacentral:rRNA from 1 species
UACGUAGGGUGCAAGCGUUAUCCGGAAUUAUUGGGCGUAAAGAGCUCGUAGGCGGUCUGUCGCGUCUGCUGUGAAAAACUGGGGGGCUCAACCCCCCAGCCUGCAGUGGGUACGGGCAGACUAGAGUGCGGGUAGGGGAGAUUGGAACUCCGUGGUGUAGCGGUGGAAUGCGCAAGAUAUCAGGAAGAACGACCGAUGGCGGAAGGCCAGA